rfam:Apaloderma vittatum contig68606, whole genome shotgun sequence.
GGCCGGUUAGCUCAGUCAUUUGAGUGCGGUGCUGACAACAAUGACAACACUGAGAUUGCGGGUUCGAUUCCCGCUCGGUCC